rnacentral:rRNA from 1 species
GAGGAUGUGAGAGACCGACGGAACUCACGGUGUAGGGGUGAAAUCCGUUGAUAUCGUGGGGAACACCAAAGGCGAAGGCAGUCGGUUGGCGCAUUCCUGACACUGAGAGACGAAAGCGUGGGGAUCAAAAAGGAUUAGAUACCCUUGUAGUCCACGCUGUAAACGAUGAUAACUAGCUAUAUGGAGUAUCGACCCUCCAUGUGGCGAAG